rnacentral:sRNA from 1 species
AGAGCUCAGCUUGGUCCCGCCGCCCGGCCGGUGCUCCCGGGCACAGCCACGCAGGCGCACCGCAGACAGACCCCUCUGCCAUGAACCAGUCCAUCCCAGUGGCUCCCACCCCACCCCGCCGUGUGCGGCUGAAGCCCUGGCUGGUGGCCCAGGUGAACAGCUGCCAGUACCCAGGGCUUCAAUGGGUCAACGGGGAAAAGAAAUUAUUCUGCAUCCCCUGGAGGCAUGCCACGAGGCAUGGUCCCAGCCAGGAUGGAGAUAACACCAUCUUCAAGGCCUGGGCCAAGGAGACAGGGAAAUACACCGAAGGCGUAGAUGAAGCCGAUCCGGCCAAGUGGAAGGCCAACCUGCGCUGCGCCCUUAACAAGAGCCGGGACUUCCGCCUCAUCUACGACGGGCCCCGGGACAUGCCACCUCAGCCCUACAAGAUCUACGAGGUCUGCUCCAAUGGCCCUGCUCCCACAGACUCCCAGCCCCCUGAGGAUUACUCUUUUGGUGCAGGAGAGGAGGAGGAAGAAGAGGAAGAGCUGCAGAGGAUGUUGCCAAGCCUGAGCCUCACAGGUGGGGCCGGGAGGUGGUGGUUGGGGGUCUAGUAUACAGAGAACCUACAGGUACCAUAGGUACCUGGGAGGCGGCUGAUGGGAGGCUGGGGUGGCUCAGGGCUGGGAGGAGGUGUGCCCGGGAGGCAGUUCGUGGAGGUGGCACUGACAGCCAUCCACACGCACUCUCUGUAGAUGCAGUGCAGUCUAGCCCCCACAUGGCACCCUAUUCUUUACUCAAAGAGGAUGUCAAGUGGCCACCCACUCUGCAGCCACCCACUCUGCAGCCGCCCACUCUGCAGCCGCCCGUGGUGCUGGGUCCCCCUGCUCCGGACCCCAGCCCCCUGGCUCCUCCCCCUGGCAACCCUCCUGGCUUCAGGGAGCUUCUCCCUGAGGUCCUGGAGCCUGGGCCCCUGGCUGCCAGCCUGCCCCCUGCAGGCGAACAGCUCCUGCCAGACCUGCUGAUCAGCCCCCACAUGCUGCCUCUGACCGACCUGGAGAUC